GAUGAACGCUGGCGGCGUGCCUAAUACAUGCAAGUCGAGCGAACAGACGAUGAGCUUGCUCCUCUGACGUUAGCGGCGGACGGGUGAGUAACACGUGUAUCACCUCCCUAUCAGUCUGGGAUAACUUCGGGACAGCGGAUCUAAUACCGGAUAAUAUCUUGAACCGCAUGGUUCAAUAGUGAAAGACGGCUUUGCUGUCACUUAUAGCUGGAUCUGCGCGGCAUUAGCUAGUUGGUACGUUCACGGCUUACCAAGGCUACGAUGCGUAGACGACCUGAGAGGCUGAUAGGCCACCCGGGAGCUGGACCGGGGACCAGACUACUACGAGAGGGAGCAGUAGGGAAUGUGCCGCAGUGGGCGAAAGCCUGACGGAACAGCGCCACGUGAGAGAUGACGGUGUCCGGAUCGUGAAAAUCUGUUAUUAGGGAAGAACAGAUGUGUAAGUAGCUGUGCACGUCGUGACGGUACCUGAUAAGAAAGCCACGGCUAACUACGUG
rnacentral:rRNA from 1 species